rnacentral:tRNA from 1 species
GGCCUCGUAGCUCAGCUGGUGGAGCGUGCACUGUACAAAAGCGUAUGCGGCGCACAUGUGUGGGUUUGAAUCCCACUGAGGUUA